rnacentral:rRNA from 1 species
AUUGAACGCUGGCGGCAGGCCUAACACAUGCAAGUCGAGCGGAGCGGCGGACGGGUGAGUAAUGCCUAGGCAUCUGCCUGUUGGUGAGGGAUCACGUCCGGAAACGGGCGCUAAUACCGCAUACUAUGAGAUGAGCCUAAGUCGGAUUAGCUAGUUGGUGGGGUAAAGGCCUACCAAGGCGACGAUCCGAAACUGGUCUGCGAGGACGAUCCAGCACACUGGAACUGAGAAACGGGCAAGACUCCUACGGGAGGCAGCAGUGGGGAAUAUUGGGCAAGGGGCGAAAGCCUGAUCCAGCCAUGCCGCGUGUGUGAAGAAGGGCUUCGGAUUGUAAAGCACUUUAAGUUGGGAGGCGUUACCAACAGAGUAAGCACCGGCUAACUACGUGCCAGCAGCCGCGGUAAUUC